rnacentral:rRNA from 1 species
UUAAGCGACUAAGCGUACACGGUGGAUGCCCUGGCAGUCAGAGGCGAUGAAGGACGUGCUAAUCUGCGAAAAGCGUCGGUAAGGUGAUAUGAACCGUUACAGCCGGCGAUGUCCGAAUGGGGAAACCCAGUGUGAUUCGUCACACUAUCGUUAACUGAAUACAUAGGUUAACGAGGCGAACCGGGGGAACUGAAACAUCUAAGUACCCCGAGGAAAAGAAAUCAACCGAGAUUCCCCCAGUAGCGGCGAGCGAACGGGGAGCAGCCCAGAGUCUGAAUCAGCUUGUGUGUUAGUGGAACGGUCUGGAAAGUCCGACGGUACAGGGUGAUAGUCCCGUACACCAAAAUGCACAGGCUGUGAACUCGAAGAGUAGGGCGGGACACGUGGUAUCCUGUCUGAAUAUGGGGGGACCAUCCUCCAAGGCUAAAUACUCCUGACUGACCGAUAGUGAACCAGUACCGUGAGGGAAAGGCGAAAAGAACCCCGGCGAGGGGAGUGAAAAAGAACCUGAAACCGUGUACGUACAAGCAGUGGGAGCACCUUCGGGUGUGACUGCGUACCUUUUGUAUAAUGGGUCAGCGACUUAUAUUCUGUAGCAAGGUUAACCGUAUAGGGGAGCCGCAGGGAAACCGAGUCUUAACUGGGCGUUAAGUUGCAGGGUAUAGACCCGAAACCCGGUGAUCUAGCCAUGGGCAGGUUGAAGGUUGGGUAACACUAACUGGAGGACCGAACCGACUAAUGUUGAAAAAUUAGCGGAUGACUUGUGGCUGGGGGUGAAAGGCCAAUCAAACCGGGAGAUAGCUGGUUCUCCCCGAAAGCUAUUUAGGUAGCGCCUCGUGAACUCAUCUUCGGGGGUAGAGCACUGUUUCGGCUAGGGGGUCAUCCCGACUUACCAACCCGAUGCAAACUACGAAUACCGAAGAAUGUUAUCACGGGAGACACACGGCGGGUGCUAACGUCCGUCGUGAAGAGGGAAACAACCCAGACCGCCAGCUAAGGUCCCAAAGUCACAGUUAAGUGGGAAACGAUGUGGGAAGGCACAGACAGCCAGGAUGUUGGCUUAGAAGCAGCCAUCAUUUAAAGAAAGCGUAAUAGCUCACUGGUCGAGUCGGCCUGCGCGGAAGAUGUAACGGGGCUAAACUGUGCACCGAAGCUGCGGCAGCGACACUAUGUGUUGUUGGGUAGGGGAGCGUUCUGUAAGCCUGCGAAGGUGGCCUGUGAGGGUUGCUGGAGGUAUCAGAAGUGCGAAUGCUGACAUAAGUAACGAUAAUGCGGGUGAAAAGCCCGCACGCCGGAAGACCAAGGGUUCCUGUCCAACGUUAAUCGGGGCAGGGUGAGUCGACCCCUAAGGCGAGGCCGAAAGGCGUAGUCGAUGGGAAACAGGUUAAUAUUCCUGUACUUGGUGUUACUGCGAAGGGGGGACGGAGAAGGCUAUGUUAGCCGGGCGACGGUUGUCCCGGUUUAAGCAUGUAGGCGGAGGUUCCAGGUAAAUCCGGUACCUUUUUAACGCUGAGGUGUGAUGACGAGGCACUACGGUGCUGAAGUAACAAAUGCCCUGCUUCCAGGAAAAGCCUCUAAGCAUCAGGUAACAUUGAAUCGUACCCCAAACCGACACAGGUGGUCAGGUAGAGAAUACCAAGGCGCUUGAGAGAACUCGGGUGAAGGAACUAGGCAAAAUGGUGCCGUAACUUCGGGAGAAGGCACGCUGAUAUGUAGGUGAAGCCCCUGCGGGUGGAGCUGAAAUCAGUCGAAGAUACCAGCUGGCUGCAACUGUUUAUUAAAAACACAGCACUGUGCAAACACGAAAGUGGACGUAUACGGUGUGACGCCUGCCCGGUGCCGGAAGGUUAAUUGAUGGGGUUAUCCGUAAGGAGAAGCUCUUGAUCGAAGCCCCGGUAAACGGCGGCCGUAACUAUAACGGUCCUAAGGUAGCGAAAUUCCUUGUCGGGUAAGUUCCGACCUGCACGAAUGGCGUAAUGAUGGCCAGGCUGUCUCCACCCGAGACUCAGUGAAAUUGAACUCGCUGUGAAGAUGCAGUGUACCCGCGGCAAGACGGAAAGACCCCGUGAACCUUUACUAUAGCUUGACACUGAACAUUGAGCCUUGAUGUGUAGGAUAGGUGGGAGGCUUUGAAGCGUGGACGCCAGUCUGCGUGGAGCCAACCUUGAAAUACCACCCUUUAAUGUUUGAUGUUCUAACGUUGGCCCCUUAUCGGGGUUGCGGACAGUGUCUGGUGGGUAGUUUGACUGGGGCGGUCUCCUCCCAAAGAGUAACGGAGGAGCACGAAGGUUAGCUAAUCCUGGUCGGACAUCAGGAGGUUAGUGCAAUGGCAUAAGCUAGCUUGACUGCGAGCGUGACGGCGCGAGCAGGUGCGAAAGCAGGUCAUAGUGAUCCGGUGGUUCUGAAUGGAAGGGCCAUCGCUCAACGGAUAAAAGGUACUCCGGGGAUAACAGGCUGAUACCGCCCAAGAGUUCAUAUCGACGGCGGUGUUUGGCACCUCGAUGUCGGCUCAUCACAUCCUGGGGCUGAAGUAGGUCCCAAGGGUAUGGCUGUUCGCCAUUUAAAGUGGUACGCGAGCUGGGUUUAGAACGUCGUGAGACAGUUCGGUCCCUAUCUGCCGUGGGCGCUGGAGAAUUGAGGGGGGCUGCUCCUAGUACGAGAGGACCGGAGUGGACGCAUCACUGGUGUUCGGGUUGUCAUGCCAAUGGCAUUGCCCGGUAGCUAAAUGCGGAAGAGAUAAGUGCUGAAAGCAUCUAAGCACGAAACUUGCCCCGAGAUGAGUUCUCCCUGAGACUUUAAGUCUCCUGAAGGAACGUUAAAGACGAUGACGUUGAUAGGUCGGGUGUGUAAGCGUAGCGAUACGUUGAGCUAACCGAUACUAAUGAACCGUGAGGCUUAACCUU